GUCAGAAUGGCCGAACGGUCUAAGGCGCUGUGUUCAGCUCGCAGUCUACUUAUGUAGGCGUGGUUUCGAGUACCACUUGAGACA
rnacentral:tRNA from 1 species